UACGUAGGGUGCGAGCGUUGUCCGGAAUUACUGGGCGUAAAGAGCUCGUAGGUGGUUUGUCGCGUUGUUCGUGAAAACUCACAGCUCAACUGUGGGCGUGCGGGCGAUACGGGCAGACUGGAGUACUGCAGGGGAGACUGGAAUUCCUGGUGUAGCGGUGGAAUGCGCAGAUAUCAGGAGGAACACCAAUGGCGAAGGCAGCUCGCUGGGACGGUACUGACGCUGAGGCGCGAAAGCGUGGGGAGCAAACAGG
rnacentral:rRNA from 1 species